AUUGAACGCUGGCGGAAUGCUUUACACAUGCAAGUCGAACGGCAGCACGGACUUCGGUCUGGUGGCGAGUGGCGAACGGGUGAGUAAUACAUCGGAACGUGCCCAGUCGUGGGGGAUAACGUAGCGAAAGCUACGCUAAUACCGCAUACGAUCUACGGAUGAAAGCGGGGGAUCGCAAGACCUCGCGCGAUUGGAGCGGCCGAUGGCAGAUUAGGUAGUUGGUAGGGUAAAGGCCUACCAAGCCGACGAUCUGUAGCUGGUCUGAGAGGAUGAUCAGCCACACUGGGACUGAGACACGGCCCAGACUCCUACGGGAGGCAGCAGUGGGGAAUUUUGGACAAUGGGCGCAAGCCUGAUCCAGCCAUUCCGCGUGCAGGAUGAAGGCCUUCGGGUUGUAAACUGCUUUUGGCAGGAAAGAAAUCGCACGGAUUAAUACUCUGUGUGGAUGACGGUACCUGCAGAAUAAGCACCGGCUAACUACGUGCCAGCAGCCGCGGUAA
rnacentral:rRNA from 1 species